GAACUUCAGAGGCUCAACGUGGGGUUUUCCUUGGUAACUUAGAAGGCUUGGGAUAAAAGUGAGGAUGGGCUACUGAGAAGAUUAACUAAGAUACUGUGACCAAAACAUCUGCUGUCCAUAUAAAAACAGCUACAGGGAGCAAGAGUGCGAUGCCUGCACCGGAGUGCGGAGAGCCGGAUGCUCAAAAUUCAG
ensembl:processed_transcript 4921529L05Rik RIKEN cDNA 4921529L05 gene